UAAAUUUUGUUAGACAUUAGGGUUUUGAAAGCCCAGAUAGGGAAGAUAUAUUCCCAACUUUAC
rnacentral:tRNA from 1 species